rnacentral:misc_RNA from 1 species
UCUCCGUUGGUGAACCAGCGGAGGGAUCAUUACCGAGUUUACAACUCCCAAACCCAAUGUGAACCAUACCAAACUGUUGCCUCGGCGGGGUCACGCCCCGGGUGCGUCGCAGCCCCGGAACCAGGCGCCCGCCGGAGGGACCAACCAAACUCUUUCUGUAGUCCCCUCGCGGACGUUAUUCUUACAGCUCCGAGCAAAAAUUCAAAAUGAAUCAAAACUUUCAACAACGGAUCUCUUGGUUCUG